UUUUUUUUUUUUUUUUACAUUCAAGUCUAGGCUGUUAUCCCCAUUUUUCAAAUAAAGAUACUAAUUCUGAUGGUGAAACCUGUGUAAGGUCAGACUACGAGAAAGGGCCCAGGGGUGGAGACCCAUCUCCAGGUAUCUGAACAGGAGAGUGGAAAGCAGAUGCAGAUAAAGGGAGAAGAAAUCUGCAAGUGUUGAGCGGCAAAGAGGCUCUUUCGUGAGUCCGGCUUGUCGCCUUUCCUCUUUUUGGAGGGAAUCAGUGACUGCUGAGGACUAGCUUUGGACAAGGGGAAGAGAAGGGAGCCUUAAUAUGUCUGUGGGGCCCAGCCCUCUUGACCAAAGGCAGCAAGGUUGAGGAGAAGCAUUAUUCAGAAAGAACCUGAGUUCCCAUAGUGGCUCGGCUCUAACAAACCCAACUAGCAUCCAUGAGAAUGUUUUGAUCCCAGGCUAGGGGUCGAGUUGGAGCAGUAGCCGCCAGCCUGUACCACAGCCACAGCAACUCGGGAUCUGAGCCACGUCUGUAACCUACACCACAGCUCAUGGCAAUGCCAGAUCCUUAACCCACUGGGUGAGUCCAGGAAUUGAACCUGCAUCCUCAUGGAUGUUAGUCAGAUUCGUUAACCACUGAGCCACAAUGGGAACUCCAAUGACUAAGGUUGUUAGAAUCACAAGUAAUAUCAAGUUGCUAUAUUCAUUUCCUAUGCUGUCAAAACCUGAAAUGAGAAAUAACCUCUCCAUUCCCCACAGAUGUGCAGAGAAUGCAUCUUCUGAGCUCAGCCUACAGUUACACCCGAGUUUUUUUGGCUCUCGAUGGACAUGCAAAGUCCCAUAUUUCCAAAUCCCUCUAAUUGUGUCGUCUCGGAGUUUAUAUUAAACCUCCAAUCGAAGUGAUUAAUCCACACUGUAACACGCUGAAAGGCAAAUAUCAAGGAAAGGACAUGUAUUGAAUAAUAUAUGUAUAUACAUUACAUAUAUUUUACAAACAUAUUCUACGAGUGCCUCAAGCAAUUAAGUCUCAAUCAGAUCAUUUGCUCAUGAUUAGUUUAGUAUUCAGCAGUGCCUAUUUGUCUGACAAGACAUUUUCUUAUUAUAUAAGUAUCUACAUAAUAGCCUCGGUUUUCCUCUUAGCUUACGAAACCUAAAGAUUUAAUAUCUGGUUCUUUAUCCCCAAAAAAGAAAAUAAAAGCUCCUAAUCUAGAAGACUGGGGAUCUUCUGAGAUUUCCUGGGAAACCUCAUUGCCAGUGGCACUGGUGGACUGCUGGUAGGGAAAGUUUGGUUAUGUAUGAAGUCUAAUUAGUAUGAUUUAGCAAACGAAGACUGUCCACAAUUAAUUUCAUCAAAAAUAGAACUGGACGUGAAGCUACAUCCUUCUGCUGUAAACCUAACAGGUACAAUUUAGUUUCAGCAAACAACACCAUCUGUCUCAGGUCAACGGUGCCACUUUGAAUUUUUGUCAGUUUUAUAGUUUUAUUUCAUUUGCACAUCUUGCUUUGACUUCAGGUAUCAAUGAGGUUUAUCCUUAUAGUUUACAUCAAAUAUGAUAUCCGCUCCUAUACGUAACGUUGUCAAAGAAAACCUUAAGUCACAACUCUGAGGUUGACCUUUUUUUUUUUUAAAGGGUUCCGUUAAAUACCCGAGUCUGAGAAACACAACUGCUAAGUGGAACUUCCCCGGUAUCAGUCAGGUGUUAGAUGUGCACGUGGUGAGAACCCCUAAUUCUCCCAGAUGUAUUUUCUUCCACAGCUCACAGCAACGCUGGAUCCUUAACCCACUGAGCAAGGCCAGGGAUCGAACCCACGUCCUCAUGGAUCCUAGUGGGAUUCGUUACCACUGAGCCACGACGGGAACUCCACCCAGAUGUAUGUUCAUUGACUGAAAGGAACAGUUUGAACAUACAAAAUCUGUCUCUUCGGGAAGUGUGAGAAAGUUAAAUGUGUUUCAUCAAGGAGUUGUGGGGAUGGUGGAGAGUCCAUACGAGGGGGUAUCGGGGAGCCGACCCGUGCCGAAGUCUGCGUCCCGCCUCAAAUGCAGGGUUCUCAAACUCAGCACGCGCAGGACCACCUGGAGUUAUUUCAUAUUCAGGCUCCCAAAUUUUCUCCCAAAGACUAUUUCACUCAGUAGUUCUCAAGGGAAGCCCAAGAAUGCCCACGGCCAGCAAACAGCUCAGAAUAUUGUGCUCUGAUGACCCACCCACCAUUUUUUAAGAAACAUGCCUAGUGGUUCCUGAUUAGUCAUGGCUUCAUUCUGUCCUUUACCUUAGACCCCAGAGGGUCUUUCAUAAAGUCCAAGGUUAUUUUCUUUACACGAACUCCCCACAGUAAGAGGUCAGUUGCAAGAAGAGGGGCCUCUUCCACCUCAGUGUUCGUUGAUACUAUAAAUCCAAGACUGCACUUGUUUGCAGAACAUUCUAGAAUACGGCAUAGCAGUGCCUGGGCUCUUGUUUGUAACCAAUUAGCAGUAACUCGAGAUACAACUGCCAGAUAAGGGCACUUCCAGUUGAAAAACAAGAUGUGACCAAGAUUCAUUGUCUAUCAAUCAAGCUAAUGUUCAGAAAGCUUCAAAUGACAUAAACAAUGUCAGUAGCCUUACAUGUAGUGACUUCCUGAAAUCUCCACUGAGGGUUCAAACCUACAUGCAAAAGCUCUUGCUUCACUGCCUAGAAAGCAGAUGAAUAACUUCAUUUUAGACAAAAAUAAUUAGCCCAGCACAGGCUCAAUGGUCAGGAUAGAAUCUGUACUACUGAAUACAAGUCUCAGUGCCAGGCACCACACCUCGUAUCUCUAGAAAAGACUCUAAAAACCCAGUCACCUCAGAUUCAGACCAGUUCCCAAGCCAGUCCUGUGGUUCUCCCCAGAUAGGUCUGCACAAGCCACACCGCCGUCUCCGCAGCCCACUGCCCAUCAAGCCGUCACACGCUUAGAAACAAAAGCUUUUUCUUGCAAGGAGAUGUUUAGCCCUGGAAGAUCACAGGACCUGGCCUCACCUGGUAGCGGAAAGCUCCAGGGCAGGGAGCUCCGGUCCCAGCUCAGCUCCCGAUGUUGACGUGACUGAAGGGCGCUUGGAAUCACCGCCCAGUUUCCUCCCUGUGAACCUGGGACGACAGCACACCUGACUUUACCAAGGAACCAGGACAUGGAGCAAACCGAGCCUCGGUGGCCUUUUCCCGUUCAAGCUGCGUGUGGAUGUCCCCACGCACCCUCGGACUCUGCCAAGGCUUGUUUGUUUCAGCUGUCGAUGGCUUGUUUCUUCUCAGCUUCAGUGCCCUCUCUUCAGAUCACGGUGGGUACCCUUGCUGCCUCGCGGGCUUCUGUCUCUGUUGGUGAACCCCAACCAAGCUUUGUGACAAGCAUCUCUCCCGACUCCCAGGUCACCCCCCACCCCUGUUCCCUGGGCCUGGCUCAUGCCCCGGGCACAACCAUGCUUCUCCCCGCACCUCUGGACAAGCCUGCCAGCCCACCAGCUCUUGGCGUGGCUGCAGUGGCUCUUGCCCAGGAUAAAGGGCACCCCUCUCCCCGGCUCCCCCCAUUCCUCACCGUGCAGCCCACACCCUGUAACAACAGCCCUUGUGUGUCAUAACUAGGUCAUGACCCUGCUCAGGCCACUUGUCGCCUCCCCGUUUCUUUCAUAUCCCUAGUGCUCUGUAUGUAAGACAGUUCGAUAUAUGCCUCCCCCCAAUAGCAAGGAUACAAGAGGCCUGUCAUUCUCCAAUGGUUCAGUUUGUAAAUGUCAGUUAAGAAAGAUGAGGAGUUCCCCUGUGGCUUAGGGGGUUAAGAACCUGACUAGUAUUCAUGAGGAUGUGGGUUCAAUUCCUGGCCUCGCUCAGUGGGUUAAGGAUCCAGUGUUGCUGUGAGCUGUGGCGUAGGCCACAGAUGCAGCUCGGAUCAGGCACUGCUGUGGCUGUGGUGUAGGCUGGCGGCUACAGCCCCGAUUCAACCCCUAGCCUGGGAACUUCCAUAUGCCAAGAGCAUGGCCUGAAAAAAGGAAAAAAAAAAAAAAAAA
ensembl:lncRNA